rnacentral:rRNA from 1 species
UACGGGGGGGGUAAGCGUUGUUCGGAAUUACUGGGCGUAAAGGGCUCGUAGGCGGCCAACUAAGUCAUACGUGAAAUCCCUCGGCUCAACCGGGGAACUGCGUCUGAUACUGGAUGGCUUGAAUCCGGGAGAGGGAUGCGGAAUUCCAGGUGUAGCGGUGAAAUGCGUAGAUAUCUGGAGGAACACCGGUGGCGAAGGCGGCAUCCUGGACCGGUAUUGACACUGAGGAGCGAAAGCCAGGGGAGCAAACGGG